GUGCACUCCGGUCCUUCUCAUCAGAAUCCUAACAGUAGUUUGAAUAUAUCUCAGCCAUCUGAUUUCCCAUCAGGUUUGCAGCCCGCUGAACAGCUGAACUCCAGAACCGGCACUUCUACAGGAGUUGUCGCUACUGACUCUUCUUCAGGUACUGUGUUAGGAAAUAGAGAAGGUUCACAAAGAUAUGUCAGAAUGAGAAUCAACCCUGUAAACAU
rnacentral:misc_RNA from 1 species